AGAAAUAUAGUAACAAGAGCUACUAACUCUUUAUAAAUGAUUAAUUUCAUUUAUAUUUCUAUAAAUUUAU
rnacentral:tRNA from 1 species